rnacentral:rRNA from 1 species
UGGGGAAUUUUGGACAAUGGGCGAAAGCCUGAUCCAGCAAUGCCGCGUGUGUGAAGAAGGCCUUCGGGUUGUAAAGCACUUUUGUCCGGAAAGAAAUCCUUGGCUCUAAUACAGUCGGGGGAUGACGGUACCGGAAGAAUAAGCACCGGCUAACUACGUGCCAGCAGCCGCGGUAAUACGUAGGGUGCAAGCGUUAAUCGGAAUUACUGGGCGUAAAGCGUGCGCAGGCGGUUUGCUAAGACCGAUGUGAAAUCCCCGGGCUCAACCUGGGAACUGCAUUGGUGACUGGCAGGCUAGAGUAUGGCAGAGGGGGGUAGAAUUCCACGUGUAGCAGUGAAAUGCGUAGAGAUGUGGAGGAAUACCGAUGGCGAAGGCAGCCCCCUGGGCCAAUACUGACGCUCAUGCACGAAAGCGUGGGGAGCAAACAGGAUUAGAUACCCUGGUAGUCCACGCCCUAAACGAUGUCAACUAGUUGUUGGGGAUUCAUUCCUUAGUAACGUAGCUAACGCGUGAAGUUGACCGCCUGGGGAGUACGGUCGCAAGAUUAAAACUCAAAGGAAUU